rnacentral:tRNA from 1 species
GGAGAGUUGUCAGAGUGGUUUAUUUUGCUACCUUGGAAAGGUAGUGUUCCUCACGGAACCGUGGAUUCGAAUUCCACACUCUCCACCA